rnacentral:rRNA from 1 species
UUAGUAACGGCGAGUGAAGCGGUAAAAGCUCAAAUUUGAAAUCUGGUACUUUCAGUGCCCGAGUUGUAAUUGGUAGAAUUUGUCUUUGAUUAGGUCCUUGUCUAUGUUCCUUGGAACAGGACGUCAUAGAGGGUGAGAAUCCCGUUUGGCGAGGAUACCUUUUCUCUGUAAGACUUUUUCGAAGAGUCGAGUUGUUUGGGAAUGCAGCUCAAAGUGGGUGGUAAAUUCCAUCUAAAGCUAAAUAUUGGCGAGAGACCGAUAGCGAACAAGUACAGUGAUGGAAAGAUGAAAAGAACUUUGAAAAGAGAGUGAAAAAGUACGUGAAAUUGUUGAAAGGGAAGGGCAUUUGAUCAGACAUGGUGUUUUUUGCAUGCACUCGCCUCUCGUGGGCUUGGGCCUCUCAAAAAUUUCACUGGGCCAACAUCAAUUCUGGCAGCAGGAUAAAUCAUUAAGAAUGUAGCUACUUCGGUAGUGUUAUAGCUUUUUGGAAUACUGUUAGCCGGGAUUGAGGACUGCGCUUCGGCAAGGAUGUUGGCAUAAUGGUUAAAUGCCGCCCGUCUUGAAACACGGACCA